GACAGCCCCCCUCGCCCCCCUGGACCGGCGCGGCCAUCGGUGACCUACAAUCGGGCACGGAGGGGAAAAAAAACCUGAAGCAAGGCAGCUUGAAGCCCACAGCACAGCAAGACGUGGACAUGUGCAUAAGGAGGGUCCCUGGGUAACUGCGUGCAGCAGGCACGGACACAUACCUGGAAUUCCCAUCUGGCUUGUGAACAAGGAAUAUCUGUGAGCCUGCAAUCCUGGCUGCCUGGGAAAGAGCAGGGGCUGGAGCUCGGGGAUGAGUGCUCGGGUGGCAGCUCCCCAGGGCUGUGUGGUGCUGCCCAGUGCUCCCUUCUGUUCCCAUUGUGUGCCGGGAUAGCUUUUGUCCGGGGAUGUUGGCGUGUGCAGUCACCAAGGUGACGGGAACAGCGGCGGGUCAGCGGCAGCACUUCCAGAGGAGCUGGGAGAGAACUGGACAACCCUGAACAUCCUGGGGGGAAACUGGACAGCCCUGCACAUCCUGAGAGGGAACUGGGCAGCCCUGCACGUCCCUGAGUGAGUGAUUCUUGUGGAUGCACACUCACCACAGACUGCACAGCCUGGUAUCCUCUGCUGUGUGAGGUGACCCUGUGUCACACAUCCAGCCCUGCAGCCUGGAUGUGUGUCCAUGAGGGGUGUCCAUGAGGGCUGGGCAGAGGGUCAGGCUUUGGGAACAUGAGGGGUUUGUGCACAGUUUUGGCUCCUGCAGAGCCCCAGGCUGUACAUGGCACCAGGCAGCAGCAGUUGGAAGACCCCAGCAUCCAUUGAGACCUGGGCUCUGCUCCUGUCACGACGCCUGGGAUCUGCAGAGCACCAGGGUGGUCCUGCCACUGGUGUCACCAGCUGCCUGCAGUGGAGCAUGGUCCCUCAGGAUGUGGGGGAAGAGCAUGGGUCACGCUGGAUGUCUCCUCCCUGGAGAAAGGCAAGGAUCAGCUGGCCCUUCCUAGCCCUGGAUGCUCUCCUGUGGCAGGCUGGGCGGCCAGGAGUAGGUGACCUUCUGUCUUUAACAUCCAUGUGGAUCCACUACAACUGCUCCAACGCCUGCAUCCUCAGGCUCAGGAUGAGGUUGGGCAGUUCUGCCUUUGUCCUUCAGUCUCCUCCUCCAUCACACGUGUCCCUCAGGCCCAUGGAAAGCAAGGAGCUGAAGCUGUAGGUGCUUUGCUAACAGCAGUUCAUACCUGCAUCCUCACUGAGCAGGGAAAGAGGGGAAAGAAAAGCCUUUUUGGAGGAGAAACAAAUGCCAGGACAGUUUGGGAAAUGCUGUAGCACCUUUUGCCUUCCCAGCUCCAACAUGCAGCCACCAAUGGCUGUCCCAAAAGGCAAUGGAGGUGGAUGCUCCUGCCAUUUGCCAGACUGGGACCUCAGGAGAGGAUACAGAGCAUGAGUGAGAAGGAAGAGUCAAAUCAAUUACUGGAACAUUGGAUGUGCCUGAACAUUGUGCAUUGGUGACCCCAAGGACCUCUACCCAGAGCAUCUGAGCACCGUGAGCCUUGGCAGAAGGAAGCAUCUCCAGUUUACUAUUAACACAUUUUGGUCUCUGUGGCUCUGGGUUCAAUGCAUUUCAUUUUUAAAGGCAGUUUUGGUGCUGGGUUUUCCUCAUUUUU